CCGCCCUUCGUCUUGACUGGCG
rnacentral:miRNA from 1 species